rnacentral:lncRNA from 1 species
CAGCUAUAGCUCUAUCUGAAGCAAAUGACUGGGUUUUAUACGCAUUGGCUGCCAUAGUCAUUUGUUGUAACAAACUUAAAAUGUUAUACUCAGAUAAUCCAUCUAUAUUCCAUUCAUAGACUGUCGAAGCAUUAUACUUAAACUGAGAAGUGGUAUUGGGUUUUUCUAUUAUUCUUAGGUCUGGUGCCCUACUAACUAUUUCUUUAUGUGAUAUAGGAUUUAUUUCAAAUUGUUUUAUAUCUUCUGAAUCUGGCUGACUUUGCUCAGACUCUGAUUCUUCAUUUAACACAUUUAUAUUUCUAGAUUGAGGAGUUUCUGGGGUAACAUUUUUACUAGAUUCUGAAACUUCUAUUUUAC